UACGUAGGGGGCAAGCGUUGUCCGGAUUUAUUGGGCGUAAAGAGCGUGUAGGCGGCUGGGUAGGUCCGUUGGGAAAACUCGAGGCUCAACCUCGAGACGCCGAUGGAAACCCUCCAGCUAGAGUCCGGAAGAGGAGAGUGGAAUUCCUGGUGUAGCGGUGAAAUGCGCAGAUAUCAGGAAGAACACCCGUGGCUAAGGCGGCUCUCUAGUACGGUACUGACGCUGAGACGCGAAAGCGUGGGGAGCGAACAGG
rnacentral:rRNA from 1 species